UACAGAGGGUGCGAGCGUUAAUCGGAAUUACUGGGCGUAAAGCGUGCGUAGACGGUAGCGUAAGUCAGAUGUGAAAGCCCCGGGCUCAACCUGGGAAUUGCAUUUGAGACUGCUCUGCUCGGGUGCGGAAGAGGGAAGCGGAAUUUCCGGUGUAGCGGUGAAAUGCGUAGAUAUCGAGAGGAACACCAGUGGCGAAGGCGAGUCCCUGGACAGGUCCUGACGCUGAGGCACGAAAGCUAGGGGAGCAAACAGG
rnacentral:rRNA from 1 species